AGUGAACGCUGGCGGCAGGCCUAACACAUGCAAGUCGAACGAGUGGCGGACGGGUGAGGAAUACAUCGGAAUCCACUCUGUCGUGGGGGAUCACGUAGGGACACUUACGCUAAUACCGCAUACGAUUGAAUGAGCCGAUGUCGGUUUAGCUAGUUGGCGGGGGAAAGGCCCACCAAGGCGACGCUCCGUCGCUGGUCUGAGAGGAUGAUCAGCCACACUGGAACUGGGACACGGGCCAAGCUCCUACGGGGGGCAGCAGUGGGGAAAAUUGGACAAUGGGCGCAAACCUGAUCCAGCCAUGCCGCGUGGGUGAAGAAGGCCUUCAGGUUGUAAAGCCCUUUUGUUGGGAAAGCGGUACCCAAAGAAUAAGCACCGGCUAACUUCGUGCCAGCAGCCGCGGUAAUAC
rnacentral:rRNA from 1 species